UGGGGAAUUUUGGACAAUGGGCGAAAGCCUGAUCCAGCCAUGCCGCGUGAGUGAAGAAGGCCUUCGGGUUGUAAAGCUCUUUCAGACGGAAAGAAAUUGCUCUGGUAAAUAGCCGGAGUAGAUGACGGUACCGUAAGAAGAAGCACCGGCUAACUACGUGCCAGCAGCCGCGGUAAUACGUAGGGUGCGAGCGUUAAUCGGAAUUACUGGGCGUAAAGCGUGCGCAGGCGGUUGCAUAAGACAGAUGUGAAAUCCCCGGGCUCAACCUGGGAACUGCGUUUGUGACUGUGCGACUGGAGUACGGUAGAGGGGGGUGGAAUUCCUGGUGUAGCAGUGAAAUGCGUAGAUAUCAGGAGGAACAUCGAUGGCGAAGGCAGCCCCCUGGACCUGUACUGACGCUCAUGCACGAAAGCGUGGGGAGCAAACAGG
rnacentral:rRNA from 1 species